rnacentral:rRNA from 1 species
GACGAACGCUGGCGGCGUGCCUAAUACAUGCAAGUAGAACGCUGAAGGAGGAGCUUGCUUCUCUGGAUGAGUUGCGCACGGGUGAGUAACGCGUAGGUAACCUGCCUGGUAGCGGGGGAUAACUAUUGGAAACGAUAGCUAAUACCGCAUAAGAGUAGAUGUUGCAUGACAUUUGCUUAAAAGGUGCAAUUGCAUCACUACCAGAUGGACCUGCGUUGUAUUAGCUAGUUGGUGGGGUAACGGCUUAUCAAGGCGACGAUACAUAGCCGACCCUAGAGGGGUGUCGGCCAAACCUGGAACGAGACCCGGCCCCGACUCCUACGGGGAGCAGCAGGAGGGGAUCUUCGGCAAUAGACGGAAGUCUGACCGAGCAACGCCGCGUGAGGGAAGAAGGGUUUCGGAUCGUAAAGCUCUGUUGUAAGAGAAGAACGAGUGUGAGAGUGGAAAGUUCACACUGUGACGGUAUCUUACCAGAAAGGGACGGCUAACUACGUG